rnacentral:rRNA from 1 species
GCGACCCCAGGUCAGGCGGGACUACCCGCUGAGAU